UGGGGAAUAUUGCACAAUGGGCGAAAGCCUGAUGCAGCAACGCCGCGUGAGUGAUGAAGGUCUUCGGAUUGUAAAGCUCUGUCUUUUGGGACGAUAAUGACGGUACCAAAGGAGGAAGCCACGGCUAACUACGUGCCAGCAGCCGCGGUAAUACGUAGGUGGCGAGCGUUGUCCGGAUUUACUGGGCGUAAAGGGUGCGUAGGCGGAUGUUUAAGUGAGAUGUGAAAUACCCGGGCUUAACUUGGGUGCUGCAUUUCAAACUGGAUAUCUAGAGUGCAGGAGAGGAGAAUGGGAUUCCUAGUGUAGCGGUGAAAUGCGUAGAGAUUAGGAAGAACACCAGUGGCGAAGGCGAUUCUCUGGACUGUAACUGACGCUGAGGCACGAAAGCGUGGGUAGCAAACAGGAUUAGAUACCCUGGUAGUCCACGC
rnacentral:rRNA from 1 species